rnacentral:rRNA from 1 species
UAACGGCUCACCUAGGCGACGAUCCCUAGCUGGUCUGAGAGGAUGACCAGCCACACUGGAACUGAGACACGGUCCAGACUCCUACGGGAGGCAGCAGUGGGGAAUAUUGCACAAUGGGCGCAAGCCUGAUGCAGCCAUGCCGCGUGUAUGAAGAAGGCCUUCGGGUUGUAAAGUACUUUCAGCGGGGAGGAAGGGAGUAAAGUUAAUACCUUUGCUCAUUGACGUUACCCGCAGAAGAAGCACCGGCUAACUCC